CCCUUAGAUGUUCUGGGCCGCACGCGCGCUACACUGACGAGGUCAUCGAGUACUACCUUCACCGAAAGGUGCGGGUAAUCUUUUGAAACUUCGUCGUGCUGGGGCUUGAUCUUUGUAAUUUUCGAUCACAAACGAGGAAUUCCUAGUAAGCGCGAUUCAUCAGAUCGCGUUGACUUCGUCCCUGCCCUUUGUACACACCGCCCGUCGCUACUACCGAUUGAAUGUUUUAGUGAGGCCUCGGGACCGACGCUUGGGGGCUGGCAACAGCCCCCUCGUGUUGGGAACUUGAACAAACUUGAGCAUUUAGAGGAAGUAAAANUCGUAACA
rnacentral:rRNA from 1 species